rnacentral:rRNA from 1 species
UACGUAGGUGGCGAGCGUUGUCCGGAUUUACUGGGCGUAAAGAGUGCGCAGGCGGCUGGGUAAGUCCGAUGUGAAAGCUUCCGGCUUAACUGGAAAACGGCAUCGGAAACUGCUCGGCUUGAAGGUGGGAGAGGGUAGCGGAAUUCCCGGUGUAGAGGUGAAAUGCGUAGAUAUCGGGAGGAACACCAGUGGCGAAGGCGGCUACCUGGCCCAUUCUUGACGCUGAGGCGCGAAAGCUAGGGGAGCGAACGGG